rnacentral:lncRNA from 1 species
GCAGCUUUCAACGUUUCGUCACUUUAUCUCUUUUGGUGGACUCUGCUACGUAGUGGCGUUCAGUGAAGGGAGCAGUGUUUUUCCCAGAUCCUCUGGCCUCCCCGUCCCCGAGGGAAGCCAGGACUAGGGUCGAAUGAAGGGGUCCUCCACCUCCACGUUCCAUUCCUGUUCCACCUCAAGGUCACUGGGAACACCUUUCGCAGCAAACUGCUAAUUCAAUGAAGACCUGGAGGGAGCCAAUUGUUCCAGUUCAUCUAUCACAUGGCCAGUUGGUCCAUUCAACAAAUGGUUAUUGGAUGCCCAUUAUGUGGCAGGCACUGUUCCGGGGGAGAGCUCUCCCAUUGGAUGCCUAUCACCUCCCAGUCCCCACCCCAAGAUGGAUCUUGAGAAAGGACAGGGCAUGUGACAACAAGUGGCAUAAGACUGAAGAAAAGAGCCUGGGCACGGUGGCUCACGCAUGUAAUCCCAGCACUUUGGGAAGCUGAGGCGGGUGGAUCAC